AUACGGAGGGUGCAAGCGUUACUCGGAAUUACUGGGCGUAAAGGACGCGUAGGCGGUUUAGAAAGUCAGAUGCGAAAGCCUAUGGCUUAACCAUAGAACUGCAUCUGAAACUCCUAGACUAGAGUGAGGGAGAGGUCAGUGGAAUUAGUGGUGUAGGGGUAAAAUCCGUAGAGAUCACUAGGAAUACUCAUAGCGAAGGCGACUGACUGGAACUUUACUGACGCUGAGGCGUGAAAGCGUGGGGAGCAAACAGGAUUAGAAACCCCGGUAGUCC
rnacentral:rRNA from 1 species